rnacentral:rRNA from 1 species
UACGAAGGGGGCUAGCGUUGCUCGGAAUCACUGGGCGUAAAGGGUGCGUAGGCGGGUCUUUAAGUCAGGGGUGAAAUCCUGGAGCUCAACUCCAGAACUGCCUUUGAUACUGGCGAUCUUGAGUCCGGAAGAGGUGAGUGGAACUCCUAGUGUAGAGGUGGAAUUCGUAGAUAUUAGGAAGAACACCAGUGGCGAAGGCGGCAUCCUGGCCCUGUCCUGACGCUCAGGGGCGAAAGCGUGGGGAGCAAACCGG